rnacentral:rRNA from 1 species
CCUACGGGAGGCUGCAGUGGGGAAUAUUGGACAAUGGGCGAAAGCCUGAUCCAGCCAUGCCGCGUGUGUGAAGAAGGCCUUCGGGUUGUAAAGCACUUUCAGUGGGGAAGAAAGCCUUGGGGCUAAUACCCUCGAGGAAGGACAUCACCCACAGAAGAAGCACCGGCUAACUCCGUGCCAGCAGCCGCGGUAAUACGGAGGGUGCGAGCGUUAAUCGGAAUUACUGGGCGUAAAGCGCGCGUAGGCGGUCUGAUAAGCCGGUUGUGAAAGCCCCGGGCUCAACCUGGGAACGGCAUCCGGAACUGUCAGGCUAGAGUGCAGGAGAGGAAGGUAGAAUUCCCGGUGUAGCGGUGAAAUGCGUAGAGAUCGGGAGGAAUACCAGUGGCGAAGGCGGCCUUCUGGACUGACACUGACGCUGAGGUGCGAAAGCGUGGGUAGCAAACAGGAUUAGAUACCACUGUAGUC